rnacentral:misc_RNA from 1 species
GAUGAAGAACGCAGCGAAAUGCGAUAAGUAAUGUGAAUUGCAGAAUUCAGUGAAUCAUCGAAUCUUUGAACGCACAUUGCGCCCGCCAGUAUUCUGGCGGGCAUGCCUGUUCGAGCGUCAUUUCAACCAUCAAGCCCCCGGCUUGUGUUGGGGACCUGCGGCUGCCGCAGGCCCUGAAAACCAGUGGCGGGCUCGCUAGUCACUCCGAGCGUAGUAAUACAUCUCGCUCAGGGCGUGCUGCGGGUUCCGGCCGUUAAAAAAGCCUUAUUUACCCAAGGUUGACCUCGGAUCAGGUAGGAAGACCCGCUGAACUUAAGCAUAUCAAUAAGGGAGGA